UGGGGAAUAUUGGACAAUGGGGGCAACCCUGAUCCAGCCAUGCCGCGUGAGUGAUGAAGGCCUUCGGGUUGUAAAGCUCUUUUGGCGGGGACGAUGAUGACGGUACCCGCAGAAUAAGCCCCGGCUAACUUCGUGCCAGCAGCCGCGGUAAGACGAAGGGGGCUAGCGUUGUUCGGAAUUACUGGGCGUAAAGCGAGUGUAGGCGGUUGCCGUAGUCAGGUGUGAAAGCCUUGAGCUCAACUCAAGAAAUGCACUUGAUACUGGGUGACUAGAGGACCGGAGAGGAUAGUGGAAUUCCCAGUGUAGUGGUGAAAUACGUAGAGAUUGGGAAGAACACCAGUGGCGAAGGCGGCUAUCUGGACGGUUACUGACGCUAAGACUCGAAAGCGUGGGGAGCAAACAGGAUUAGAUACCCUGGUAGUCCACGCCGUAAACGAUGGGUGCUAGACGUUGGCGAGCUUGCUCGUCAGUGUCGCAGCUAACGCGUUAAGCACCCC
rnacentral:rRNA from 1 species